UACGGAGGGUGCAAGCGUUAAUCGGAAUCACUGGGCGUAAAGCGUGCGUAGGCGGCCUGUCAAGUCAGGUGUGAAAGCCCUCGGCUUAACCGAGGAAUUGCACUUGAAACUGAUGGGCUGGAGUUCUGGAGAGGGUGGCGGAAUUCCCGGUGUAGGAGUGAAAUCCGUAGAUAUCGGGAGGAACACCAGUGGCGAAGGCGGCCACCUGGACAGUAACUGACGCUGAGGUACGAAAGCGUCAGUUACUGUC
rnacentral:rRNA from 1 species